AAUGUUUUUUUUUUUUAAUAUGUUUACUGGUCGUUACUUCGCGGAUUUCCGUUAAUCGCGGGUGGUUUUGGUCCCCAUUAACCACGAUAAACGAGGGAUUACUAUAUUUUAAAUCCAA